rnacentral:rRNA from 1 species
GAUGAACGCUGGCGGCGUGCCUAAUACAUGCAAGUCGAGCGAACAGAUGAGGAGCUUGCUCCUGUGACGUUAGCGGCGGACGGGUGAGUAACACGUGGAUAACCUACCUAUAAGACUGGGAUAACUUCGGGAAACGGGAGCUAAUACCGGAUAAUAUAUUGAACCACAUGGUUACAUACUGAAAGACGGUUUUGCUGUCGCUUGUAGAUUGAUCCGCGCCGCAUUAGCUAGUUGGCAAGGUAACGGCCUACCAAGGCAACGAUCAGUAGCUGGCCUGAGAGGAGGAUCGGCCACACUGGAACUGAGACACGGCCCAGACUCCUACGGGAGGCAGCAGUGGGGAAUCUUGCGCAAAGGGCGAAAGCCUGACGGAGCAAUGCCGCGUGUGUGAUGAAGGUCUUCGGAUCGUAAAACUCUGUUAUCAGGGAAGAACAAAUGUGCACGAAACCGUGCAGGUCUUGACGGUACCUGAUCAGAAAGCAACGGCUAACUACGUG